rnacentral:rRNA from 1 species
CGCUAUCACUCCUUACGGGAGGCAGCAGUGGGGAAUAUUGCACAAUGGGGGAAACCCUGAUGCAGCCAUGCCGCGUGUGUGAAGAAGGCCUUCGGGUUGUAAAGCACUUUCAGUAGGGAGGAAGGUAGUGUAGUUAACACCUGCAUUAUUUGACGUUACCUACAGAAGAAGCACCGGCUAACUCCGUGCCAGCAGCCGCGGUAAUACGGAGGGUGCGAGCGUUAAUCGGAAUUACUGGGCGUAAAGCGCAUGCAGGCGGCCUGUUAAGUCAGAUGUGAAAGCCCGGGGCUUAACCUCGGAAUUGCAUUUGAAACUGGCAGGCUAGAGUCUUGUAGAGGGGGUAGAAUUUCAGGUGUAGCGGUGAAAAUGCGUAGAGAUCUGAAGGAAUACCAGUGGCGAAGGCGGCCCCCUGGACAAAGACUGACGCUCAGAUGCGAAAGCGUGGGGAGCAAACAGGAUUAGAUACCCUGGUAG